UCGGGGCCAAAGUGACAGGUGGUGCAUGGUUGUCGUCAGCUCGUGUCGUGAGAUGUUGGGUUAAGUCCCGCAACGAGCGCAACCCUUAUUGUUAGUUGCCAUCAUUUAGUUGGGCACUCUAGCGAGACUGCCGGUGACAAACCGGAGGAAGGUGGGGAUGACGUCAAAUCAUCAUGCCCCUUAUGACCUGGGCUACACACGUGCUACAAUGGGAAGUACAACGAGUCGCGAAGUCGCGAGGCUAAGCUAAUCUCUUAAAGCUUCUCUCAGUUCGGAUUGUAGGCUGCAACUCGCCUACAUGAAGCCGGAAUCGCUAGUAAUCGCGGAUCAGCACGCCGCGGUGAAUACGUUCCCGGGCCUUGUACACACCGCCCGUCACACCACGAG
rnacentral:rRNA from 1 species